rnacentral:tRNA from 2 species
GAGGCUUUAGCUUAAUUAAAGCGUCUGACUUGCAUUCAGAAGAUACAGGUUAAUGUUCUGUAAGUCUUA